AAAAAACAAAACAAAAGGAAAAAAAUGAAAGGUUCCUCCUGAUCCUGAUUUUGGGUGAACCUAAAACUGAAGUGAGGUUUAAGACAAGAGAAUAACGGCAAGAACACAAAAAUAAAGAGACCACCCAAACGCAUAAAACAAAAGAGAUUCAACGCAUGAAACAAUUCCUAAAUUAAUCUAAGCAUAUUCCUGGUCAAAGUCAACGUAUAGUAAAGUAACUACAAAUGCAAAC
rnacentral:lncRNA from 1 species